GAUCUCAAAUCAGGUAGGACUACCCGCUGAACUUAAGCAUAUCAAUAAGCGGAGGAAAAGAAACUAACAAGGAUUCCCCUAGUAACUGCGAGUGAAGCGGGAAAAGCUCAAAUUUAAAAUCUGGCGUGCCUCUGGUCGUCCGAGUUGUAGUUUAGAGAAGCGUUUUCUGUGUUGGACCGUGUAUAAGUCUCUCGGAACAGGGCGUCAUAGAGGGUGAGAAUCCCGUCUUUGACACGGACUACCAAUGCUUUGUGAUACGCUCUCAAAGAGUCGAGUUGUUUGGGAAUGCAGCUCAAAAUGGGUGGUAAAUUCCAUCUAAAGCUAAAUAUAGGCGAGAGACCGAUAGCGAACAAGUACCGUGAGGGAAAGAUGAAAAGCACUUUGGAAAGAGAGUUAAACAGUACGUGAAAUUGCUGAAAGGGAAACGC
rnacentral:rRNA from 1 species